rnacentral:tRNA from 1 species
UCGGUCGCAGAGACUUGUUGAAAGCUUUCAAACUAUGAUUUGGUUCUUAUGGGCUAUUAGCUCAGGUGGUUAGAGCGCACCCCUGAUAAGGGUGAGGUCCCUGGUUCGAGUCCAGGAUGGCCCACCUGAAGAGAGUUAAGAGUUUGAAGUUAAGAGUUAAGUUUCAAAAAACUGAUAACUCAUCACUAAAAACUCAUAACUUUUUGUCUGGGGGUUUAGCUCAGUUGGUAGAGCGCCUGCUUUGCAAGCAGGAUGUCAGCGGUUCGAGUCCGCUAACCUCCACCUAGAGAUAAAAUAGCAAAGGAAAAAGUCAGCAACUAACAGUGAAGUUAGACUGCUGGAAGAGCCAGAGCCAGAACCUUGAAAAAUGCAUAGAAACGCGAAGCAGGCAGACACAGACAUCCAAAGGAUAAAAGUGUAUGCAGUGGUGAAAACCAAUUGUUUUAUUGUUUUAGUGUCAAGCAAUUAAAGGUUU